CUACGCUCGUCUCAAAGAUUAAGCCAUGCAUGUGUAAGUGUAAAUAUAAAAGUUUGGAACUGCGAAUGGCUCAUUAUAUCAGUUAUAGUUUAUUUGGUGAAGUGUACUACUUGGAUAACCGUAGUAAUUCUAGGGCUAAUACAUGAGAAAGUCCUCUGGUGAGGUGUGUUUAUUAGAAUGAAAACCAUAUGCUUCGGCAUGAUAGUGAGUAAUAGUAACCUAUCGUAUCGCAUGCUUAAUGUAGCGAUGAGUCUUUCAAGUUUCUGCCCUAUCAGCUUUCGAUGGUAGUAUAUGGGCCUACCAUG
rnacentral:rRNA from 1 species